GGGGUUAUAGCGCAGUUGGUAGCGCACCUCAAUGGCAUUGAGGGGGUCAGCGGUUCGAAUCCGCUUAGCUCCA
rfam:Cylindrospermum stagnale PCC 7417, complete genome.